rnacentral:tRNA from 1 species
GUGGAUGUAGCCAGUGGUAGAGUUCUUGCCAAGCAUGUGCAGGGACCUGGGUUCAAUCCCCAGUAUCUCCA